rnacentral:rRNA from 1 species
UACGUAGGGUGCAAGCGUUGUCCGGAAUUAUUGGGCGUAAAGAGCUCGUAGGCGGUUUAUCGCGUCUGCUGUGAAAACCCGAGGCUCAACCUCGGGCCUGCAGUGGGUACGGGCAGACUAGAGUGCGGUAGGGGAGAUUGGAAUUCCUGGUGUAGCGGUGGAAUGCGCAGAUAUCAGGAGGAACACCAAUGGCGAAGGCAGAUCUCUGGGCCGUAAACUGACGCUGAGGAGCGAAAGCAUGGGGAGCGAACAGG